rnacentral:lncRNA from 1 species
UUACAAAAUUUAUCAAAUCAAGAAGGCAAAUCAGUUCCAAAACGAAAUUCGAGCUUAGAUUGGUGAUCUCCAUUGUAAGGGGAUCAUAAGGCAAGGAAACCGGGACGUCAAGCGGACAAGCCGGUGGUGAUACGCGCUUGAAGGGAGUGCUUUGAAGGUCACGGGAUUCGCAUGGAUAGCACUAAGGUGAUGCUCGUUUGUUGUGGAUGUUGAUCAAGCAAGGGAAUCAAGA